GAAGGCUGAAAUUCGCCUUCAUGAAGCCGGAAUUGCUAGUAAUGGCAGGUCAGCAUACUGCCGUGAAUACGUUCCCGGGCCUUGUACACACCGCCCGUCACACCAUGAGAGUUGGGAAUACCCGAAGCCUGUGAGCUAACGUUAAGAGGCAGCAGUCGAAGGUAGAAUCAAUGAUUGGGGUGAAGUCGUAACAAGGUACC
rnacentral:rRNA from 1 species